AGUGAACGCUGGCGGUAGGCCUAACACAUGCAAGUCGAACGGCAGCACAGUAAGAGCUUGCUUUUACGGGUGGCGAGUGGCGGACGGGUGAGGAAUACAUCGGAAUCUACUUUUUCGUGGGGGAUAACGUAGGGAAACUUACGCUAAUACCGCAUACGACCUACGGGUGAAAGCAGGGGAUCUUCGGACCUUGCGCGAUUGAAUGAGCCGAUGUCGGAUUAGCUAGUUGGCGGGGUAAAGGCCCACCAAGGCACGAUCCGUAGCUGGUCUGAGAGGAUGAACAGCCACACUGGAACUGAGACACGGUCCAGACUCCUACGGGAGGCAGCAGUGGGGAAUAUUGGACAAUGGGCGCAAGCCUGAUCCAGCCAUACCGCGUGGGUGAAGAAGGCCUUCGGGUUGUAAAGCCCUUUUGUUGGGAAAGAAAAGCAGCAGGUUAAUACCCCGCUGUUCUGACGGUACCCAAAGAAUAAGCACCGGCUAACUUCGUG
rnacentral:rRNA from 1 species